rnacentral:rRNA from 1 species
AACCCCUCGCAUUCAGUUGCCAUCGGGUAAUGCCGGGCACUCUGGAAGGACUGCCAUCGACAAGAUGGAGGAAGGUGGGGAGUGACGUCAAGUCAUCAUGGCCCUUAUGUCCAGGGCGACACACGUGCUACAAUGGCCGGCACAACGGGAAGCGAGUUCGCGAGGACAAGCGGAUCCCUUAAAGCCGGUCGCAGUUCGGAUUGAAGUCUGCAACUCGACUUCAUGAAGCUGGAAUCGCUAGUAAUCGUGGAUCAGCCAAGCCGCGGUGAAUACGUUCCCGGGCCUU